UCACAAAACUCCAAGAGAAUGAAAUUACACGGUAUAUAUUCAAUUUUCAGUUAACGAAAAUGGUUCAAGACAUGAUGAAAGGUGACAUAAGCCUAGCGACAAACGAGAUAUCAAAGUUGGAAGAAAAGAUAACGCAUUUAGAAAGCUCUUUAAACAAUUUGGAAAAUGUCGUUAAGAAUUUGCAAGUACUCGCUAGCGAAUAUGCCGCAGAGAUGGAACAAGAAAUCGAAAAAGAAAUCAUGGAAGGUGUCCCCGAGGAGCUUCAUCCACCGGCGGCUCAACGAAUUUCAUUAAGCGAGCUCUUGGGUGGAAUAGAUAUAAAAGAAAUGCAUAAAGACGUGGCUAUGUUACAAGAGGAAGUUAACCAAAUAAAGAAUGAUUUGAAAAAUUUAGGAGACGAGUUUGGCCGGACAAAAGAUGAAUUUACCACUAAACUAGAUCAAAAGCAACAAACUAUGAAAACACUAAAAGAGCAGAUCGAAGAAGUAGCGCAAGAAGCUAAGAAGAAAAUAGAAGUUGAAACUGAAAUAAGAGCAAUAGAAAAAGUAGCAGAAACACCUAGAGAAACACCUAGAGAAACACCUAGAGAAACACCUAGAGAAACACCUAGAGAAACACCUAGAGAAACGCCUAAGGAAACACCUAGUGUUGCAACGCCUACAGAUUUACCAAAACUCAAAGUCAAAGAGGGAAAAGUGGUAGAUUCGGAGGAAAUAGAGGCCGUGAAAGUACGAAUCUCAAAAUUAGAAAAGGAUGUGAUGAAUUUGCACGAGAAAGUAGAAACUACACAUAUGGUCGAGACUGCCAAUCUCGAGAACUUGACAUCCAAGGUUCAGGAAAUGCAAGGUGAUGUGGAGAAAUUGACCCAGACUACAGAUACUCUGCUCGAUGAACGCGAAACUCGCGAAAUGAAUUUCAACGCGUUAUUAGAGCAAGUAGAACUUUUGAAAACGAUUAAAGCUGAUAGAGAAGAUCUGGAAGAUGCGCUUGCUGAGAAAGCUGAUGCCCAGGCGAUACACAGAAAGGUAUCUUACGAUCAAUUCGAUGCGGCUUGCGAUGAUCUUGCUCAUGGUCUCGAGGACGCGAUCAAUAAAUUAGGGCAACAGGAAAUGAUCUUGCAACAAGCUUUAGACGAAGUGCAAAAGGAGAUCGAGGGUAAAGUCGACAAGAUCGAGAUAUCUCCGUUGAAGGAGUUCGUGAACCAACGACUGAAGGUACUUCAAGAUAAGCUGAAGAAGGUGGCGGAAGCGAGAGAGGAAAUCGAAGCUGCUGGAACGAAAAAGUUGCUUAGGGAUGUCCAAUGCAUAUCUUGUGACAAGGAUGUGGUCAUGAGAAUGGAUGGCGUUCCCAGAUUUAAAGUGGAAACAUUACCAUGCACCACAAGCAUGAAACCAUAUCUGACUUACGAGUUGGAUCAAGUUAGAAAGCAACACAGGAAAUUGCCCCAUAGCAGAAAUAUGAUUCAAUUCGAGGCAGCUAUUCAAGAGGAGACAAGAAAACAGAAGAGUGCGAGAGCAGAGGCUCUUGCAAAGACUCCUAGAGAUCAUCUGUGCAAUCGAUACUGCGGCGGUAGUCACACGAUUACGACUCCACAGCAGAGAGUAAUGCGAGUGGGCCAUUUCCUCACUCAAUGGGGGCCGGAAAUAAUUCAGCUGACGGAAGGGAUGAUAAAAGGAACGGAUGGUAGAAUGUACAAAAGUCGGCGUAUGCCAGAAAAAAUCGAUGUUUGCGGGCCUGCAUAUUGCGAAUUGCCAUCGGACAGACAAUCGGCGAUUUCUGUGAAUUGCUCUAUACCGCAUAAACUGACUGCUGAGAAAAUGGUGUCUCCUGCCACAAGUAGAACAAAUAGACAAUUUUAUUCUAUUUUCUUUCAAAUUUUAUAUUAUAUCUAUUAUAUGUGAAUACGUGUAUUUAAGUAUAAAAUAUUCCGUUGCUGUAUUUUUUUAUUUUCUUAUGUAUAUUUUAACAAUGGAAAGGAGUAAAGAGAUUCAGACAAGAUUAAUUUUGAAUAAAAAUGUAAACAUUUUCGCGCGAAGAAAAUUAAUUUUUUGAACAAAUUAUAAUAACACUGAUAUAAUUUCGAAAGGGGGAAAACGAAAUCCAACCAUAAAGAGAAGAUCUCGCGAAAUGGCCAAAGAAGUGAUAGAAGAGCUUGCAGAAACAACUGCAACGGAGGGAGACGAUCAGGAGUCUAUCAGUCCAAUCGACGCAUCAAUUUCUGAUCGUAUUAUUCGUUACACGGACGACGAGGAGUAAGACUAAAUAAAAAUUUAAAUAGAUGUCUAAAUACAUUUUCCACGAAGUCAUUAAUUCAAAAUUUUUCAAUCGUCUUAUCGUAAUAUAAAAAAAAUUAUGAUCAUCUGAAUAAUAUAAGAAGAUAUAGCAUAAUAAAAAUGUAAAAAAUACAAAAUAUCGAAGAAAACACACGCAUAUCUAAAUCUGUUUUUUUUAAUAUUUAUUAAUUUCUAUAUAAAGAAAAAUAUUGAAAUUAUCGAAAUUUGAACAUGGUGGAAUUACCGAAAUCGAAGACAUCUUUUUAUCUCCUCCUUUUCACAUUUUUCAUUCGCAUAUCAAUUAUACAAUAAAUAUCAACAAAUAAUCGAUAGAUUAGGAAAACAAAAAACUGUUGUUUUAUUAAAUGUUUUAUUAUUAAGAGGGAAUUUCGGAGUACACAAGACUAUCUAGUGAAGUCGAUUUGGAACAUGGUCUGCUAGAAACAAAAAUACCACGCAUCAUAAUGACCACACUAGAUCGCUCUUCGUUUAUUGCACAUCAUACCGUUCGAAAACCGUUUACAUAAAGAGUGUACACAGCGCUCGAAUAGUGUCUUAUAAUAAUAUUGGACUCGUUCUCCAUUUUCCUCCAUUCGAUCACACCUUCCUAUGAACGACUAUGCGCUAGUGUUUCUUGUAAUAAUAAUAAUAAUAGAAUAUUUAUGUAUACGUAUAAUGAUGUAUACAUUUGGGGCUAGAUUCUACUUCAUAUAAAUUCAAGGUACAGGAAGUAUCUACAAGUUAGUAUCUACCACAUAAUUUACGACUGCCUUGUUCUUGUUGUUUUUUUUUUCUUUUUUUUUUCUUUUUUUUUUUCUUCCCUUUUAUUCAUUUUGAUGAACGGCGUUUUUUUUUUUAAAUCUACGUCUACUAAAUAUACCUAACAAUAAGUAAUAAGAUUACCAUAGGUUAUCUCGCUAUGAUCUUAAAAUCAACGGUAUACACGGAAUCAUGACAGUAAGAUCAUUGGCUUAUAAUGACACAAUGCAAUAAAUAGAAUGCCAAAUAAAUAUACGUACAGAUAGAUUAUACUUAUUUUUUUUCCCCCUCCUCGAUAAUUAUCCAUUAAAGGAUUGGGAACAAUAUAAUGUCUUAAAUAUUAACAUGGAUAUGCAUUAUCGAUUACAGUUAAUAAUACUGGCAGCUUAAAGUACAACGUGUAUGUAUUACACUCAACCUAAUCGAAAAAAGAAUGGUAGAGAGUGCCAAAUAUACAUACUUUGAUAAUUAUUCGUUUACAAUGUAACGAAAUAAAUACACUAGUAUCACGUACACGAUACACGAUUUCCAUCGAAAUCAACAAAUUGGAAUGGAAUAUAUCUAACGAUAAAAAAAUAAUAAUACCUACGAAGAAUCGUAUCUAAGAUUAUUGCAGGCAUCAUGGCACUCGUCUACGUAUGAUGUGGUCUCUAGAUUAUGUCUAAUCGAUGACAAAGUACAUAAAAUAUUUGGUUACGUGCCACUACAGACUCAAUUGACCAACAAAAGAAGGAAA
rnacentral:misc_RNA from 1 species